GAAAAUUAACAUCUUGUUAAUCUAUCUGUGUGGUGAAUCCCCCUAUGCGGUGGGGCACUGUAACCUGGUAAUGUCGAAACAUUGCUGGCUGACAAAAUGCGGGUCGUGGCUGGUUACACUUCGACUCACCGGGAGGCACCCGGCACCAUGCAAUGCUACUAAGCUAUUUGGUAGUGGAGUUGCCGUUUCGGCUUCUCCAGCUAU
rnacentral:sRNA from 1 species